GGACAAGCGGAUAAGUACGUGUGGGGAGGGGGAGGUACCCCUUUAGUACUGGGUGGAGGCUUUACCCGGUACUAAAGGGGUCACGGGGCUCCUCGGGGAUUGGCCGUUAGGCCCGAUACUAAUGCUCACAUUAGUACAGGCUAAAAUACAACCGGUACUGAAUCUCGGGAUGAAUGCUAAGUUUUCUAGUAGUGGCUUGUAUAUCAGUAGUUGAUGGAACAUGGAGUGGCCAAGCAGAAAUUUGGUACUAUGCUCACAUGAUGAACAUCAGUAGACAGAAAGUGGCCAAGCACUAUGCUCACAUGAUGAACAUAUCCACAAUCCACUGCAAAAAGUGGCCAAGCAGAAGACAGAAAGGUGAUGGAACAUGGAAAGGAACCGGCAGCGGCAGUGAGUUGCUUUGCGUCGUUAUAACGUAAGUAUAGGGUUCUACCAAUGCAGCACUUCUUGACGUACGGGCCGGGGUUGCU
rnacentral:lncRNA from 1 species